GACGAACGCUGGCGGCGCGCCUAAUACAUGCAAGUCGAACGGGUCUCCUUCGGGAGGUCAGUGGCGGACGGGUGAGUAACACGUGGGUGACCUGCCCCGAAGUGGGGAAUAACGCUGCGAAAGCAGCGCUAAUACCGCAUAUGCUUAACGGUCCAAUCUGUUAAGCAAAGCAGCAAUGCGCUUUGGGAGGGGCCUGCGGCAGAUUAGCUAGUCGGUGGGGUAAUGGCCUACCGAGGCGACGAUCUGUAGCUGGUCUGAGAGGAUGACCAGCCACACUGGGACUGAGACACGGCCCAGACUCCUACGGGAGGCAGCAGUAAGGAAUAUUCCACAAUGGGGAAACCCUGAUGGAGCGACGCCGCGUGCGCGAAGAAGCCCUUCGGGUGGUAAAGCGCUUUUCUGCGGGGUGAGACAAGACAGUACCGCAGGAAUAAGCCUCGGCUAACUACGUGCCAGCAGCCGCCGCGGUAAC
rnacentral:rRNA from 1 species